UCACUUACCUGGACGGGGUGUAUGAGCGAUCAAGAAGGCUCAUUGCCUGGGUAGGCGACCUCCAUUGCACAUUGGGGAGGGGUGCUCGCCCAAGGUCUGCUCAAAGUAGCAGAGCCUACGUCAUAAUUUGUGGCAGUGGGGGCCUGCGUUCGCGCGGCCCCUAC